AGAAUAAAUGAGGCAGCAGCUCAGGUGGGAGGUGGGGGACCUGGUUCUGAACUGGCUGAGUCAUCCCUCUGCUCUUCCCCCUUCUCCCCACCCUCUACCAUAGCUUUUGUUCAGCUCCAUCUUCCCUUGCCCCAAGGGACCAGCCUCCCUGCCUCCACUCUCCAUAGAGAAGCCUUCUUCAAAAGCAAAUCUGAGCAUGCGAAUGGCCUGGGACUUCCAAGGUACAACCAGUUUUGCCUAAUUUGGGCCAGGUCUCGAUGGUGUCUCCUAGGACCCUGGUUUGGGCCGUUGAAGGUCUGCAGGACACGAGCUGUCGGGGCAGAGAAGUCCCGCCAGCUUCCCGUCCCUGGGCAUUGGCAGAAUACAGCCUACGCAGCCACCCUGGGGCCAGGACCAGCCGCUCCAGUUGGAGGAGGAAGGAACCUGGGGCCUCCCAGCACUGAGCCUUUGAGCUGACCAUGGAGAGAGGCUGCCGGGAAGCCCAGCAUCAGCCGGGGGGACAGAAGAUAGGCAAGAGGAGAGGAGCGUCGAGAAGGGCGAUAAAGAGGAGAGGAGAGGGUAUGUAUGGGUGGGGACUGUAUCGUCGCAUGUAUGUUGGGGCUGGAGCUGGUGGUACAGGAGGUCUGGGAGGAAAGGCGGUAGAGAGGGGGAAAUGGCUAAUGGCAGGGAGGCACAACUGCCCCUGAGCCCAGACCCCAGCCCACCGGCCCUGUGAGCAGAGGCCUGCCGAGCAAACACCCAGCCCCUCCGUGACUCCCCGGUGGAGGAGCCCACAUUCCUGCCCAGCAAAGACCGCUUUAAUCAAGGCUCCAGAUCCUUCCUGCAGCCGCCCGGGGGGGACUGUAACGCUAAACACAUUAGUGUGUGAGAUUGAAAGGUAACACAUUCUCAUGGAAGCCCCCGGAACAAUGGGCCUCGGGUCUGGGUUUCAUUUGGAAGAACCGUGCG
rnacentral:lncRNA from 1 species